ACCCGAACCCAGGCCCGCUGACUCGUAGUUCAGUGCUCGUGGUAGCUGCUGGGCCCUGAACUAGGGGUCUGGGGGCCUGGGUUUGAAUAUC
rnacentral:pre_miRNA from 1 species